rnacentral:rRNA from 1 species
UACGAAGGGGGGCUAGCGUUGCUCGGAAUCACUGGGCGUAAAGGGUGCGUAGGCGGGUUUUUAAGUCAGGGGUGAAAUCCUGGAGCUCAACUCCAGAACUGCCUUUGAUACUGAAGAUCUUGAGUCCGGGAGAGGUGAGUGGAACUGCGAGUGUAGAGGUGAAAUUCGUAGAUAUUCGCAAGAACACCAGUGGCGAAGGCAGCUCGCUGGGACGGUACUGACGCUGAGACGCGAAAGCGUGGGGAGCAAACAGG